rnacentral:lncRNA from 1 species
CUCAAAAAAAAAAAAAAAAAAAAAGGGGGGGUUGACUCAUGGGUUGGUAGGAAGAAUUUACUGACAACAGUAUAGGUUUGAAAAAGGAAAGUUUUAUUAGAAAGAAAGAACGUGCCUUUCCAGCCCCCCACCCGGACCCUACAGCCACCGAGAUGUUGAUGCCUAAGAAGAACUGGAUUGCCAUUUAUGAACUCCUUUUUAAGGAGGGAGUCAUGGUGGCCAAGAAGGAUGUCCACAUGCCUAAGCACCCGGAGCUGGCAGACAAGAAUGCGCCCAACCUUCGUGUCAUGAAGGCCAUGCAGUCUCUCAAGUCCCGAGGCUACGUGAAGGAAGUUUGCCUGGAGACAUUUCUACUGGUACCUUACCAAUGAGGGUAUCCAGUAUCUCUGUGAUUACCUUCAUCUGCCCUCGGAGAUUGUGCCUGCCACCUUACACCGCAGCUGUCCAGAGACUGGCAGGCCUUGGCCUAAAGUCUGGAGGGUGAGCGACCUGCAAGACUCACAAGAGGGGAAGCCAACAGAGAUACCUACAAACGGAGUGCUGUGCCCCCUGGUGCCAACAAGAAAGCCGAGGCUGGGGCCGGGUCAGCAACCAAAUUCCAGUUCAGAGAUGGAUUUGGUUGUGGACGUGGUCAGCCACCUCAGUAAAAUUGGAGAGGAUUAUUAUGCGAUGAAUAAACUUACAGUCAA